rnacentral:rRNA from 1 species
UACGUAGGGUGCUAGCGUUGUCCGGAUUUAUGGGCGUAAAGAGCUCGUAGGCGGUUUGUCGCGUCUGCUGUGAAAACUCAGGGCUUAACCCUGAGCCUGCAGUGGGUACGGGCAGACUAGAGUGUGGGAGAGGUGAGUGGAAUUCCCGGUGUGAGCGGUGAAAUGCGUAGAUAUCGGGGAAGGAACACCUGUGGCGAAAGCGGCUCACUGGACCACAACUGACGCUGAGGCGGCGAAAGCAUGGGGAGCGAACGGG